rnacentral:rRNA from 1 species
CUCAAGAUUAGAUUUCCCUAUGAGGACACUGAAAGACGAUCAGUUUGAUAGGCGCAAGGUGGAAGUGCGGUAACGUAUGUAGCCGAAGCGUACUAAUAGUCCCAUUGACUUU